rnacentral:rRNA from 1 species
CCCUUAGAUGUUCUGGGCCGCACGCGUGCUACACUGAGUAAAUCAAUGGGUAAGGGAACACGAAAGUGCAACCUAAUCUUGAAAUUUGCUCGUGAUGGGGAUCGACGGUUGCAAUUUUCUGUCAUGAACGAGGAAUACCUUGUAAGCGCGGGUCAUCAUCCCGCGCUGAAUACGUCCCUGCCCUUUGUACACACCGCCCGUCGCUCCUACCGAUUGAGUGGUCCGGUGAGGCUUUGGGAUCUGAGCGGAAAGAGCGUUUCGCUGUUUCUGCUCGGAAAACUCAGUCGAACCUUAUCAUUUAGAGGAAGGAGAAGUCGUAACA